GGUGUCCUGCAAUCCCAAAGGGCAUGUGCCGGAAGGGGAGAAGGGGGAAGCUCUUUACUCUCAGUGCCAGUAAGAGCUGGGCCGCAGCCUUCUAUCCAACAGCAAAGCAAAGCUGAGCAGUUAGUCAUCUCCUCCCUUCGUAGUCUGAUCUGACCAGGCACAUAGCCACUGCUUCCAAACACUUGCCUUUUUUUGCUUAGAAACUGGAAGGGCGGAAGGAGAGACAAUGUUUUUAUGCUGACUCUCUGUGGAAGAUAGAAGAAACUGCAGAUGCCUGCUAAUAACGUGCUUUAUAAUAGUAUCUAUGCUUGUCAUUUUACCUAGAGUGUAUCGUAGUGUUGUAUUAAUUACUAUGUUAACAAAUGAAGCAGCCAGGAAACUUAACUAGGUUGGAGAAAAUUCAGGAGUUUUGAUCUCUGAAAUACUGUCGCAGCUACCUCGUUCUGUUGGUCUGGUGUCUGCUCCUGGUUUGCUGAAGCAGUCUUUUGUUUUGCACGAACAAUUGUCAUGGAGAAAUAUCAGCUUGAGGGAAAAGUUCACACAGUGCCUUCUACUGGCUCUCCUCCUUCCCUCCCCACAACCUCCGGUCCUGGCAGGAGCUGUUAUUUCGAAUGAAUUUGAUUGAAGGAGACAGGAAGCCCACAUUUAUUUCUUUUUUUAAAAUCUAUGAAGCUUAAAUGUCUUUAAGAAACCCUGGCGGUAUUCUUUGGUUCCGACAGAAACCUUCAGAGGAAAGAACAGUGCUGCCACGGUUGAAAGAGAGGUAGAGAGCAUUGACACCAUUGCUUCUGUGUGGGGGCAUUCUAAAGGGCUCAAAACACCGACUGAUGGGAAUUUCCAAGAUUGUGUAGUUCUCUAACAGAGACAUCUCAUUUAGGGUCGCUCUAAGUUUCUUUGACUACUCACUUUUCAAAAUUGCCUCUGGGAUGUAGGACCCAUCCUUAGGCUGAGCUUUCUCUUGACUCCAUCCUGUGUGUGAUGACUCCUCUGUGCCCUCAGACCACAAUUUCUGCCUACUCCCCAGGGCUUCCAUUAGAGCAUGUUUCCUGCUGGAGGCUGUCAAUCUUCAGUGUUCACAGCACUCUCUUCAGUUCUGUGAUUAUUGGUGACACAAAGGGAAAAAGCUUAAAGGAAUCAAAAGGACACCACCGUCUCCGCUAUGAUGAAACAUCUCAGGGUGUUCGUAGAGGUAAUUCCAGCAGAGGUCAAGCGUAUGCCUGUCUUUCAGAGCCAAGUCUAGGUUUGAGGACAAGGUAAAGGUAUUUAUCCCCAUUGCCUUGUAUAAUAGACUCAUGGAGUCAGGUGUUCACAUGUUUCAGAAAAUGUACAGUAGUUCUUUGUUGUCUGUCUGUGGCUUAAUUUGUUGCACGGUGAAUCAAUAGAUUUCCCUGUCACAGUACGUGACUCAUUUUAUUGUGAUAACAAAUGAGGAUGCCAUGCCAUACUGUCCGGGGUGUAGCAACACAGCGUUUGAAAACCGUUGAUUCAUACCUGAGCAUAAAUCGCAGUGAAAAGAAGAGCAGAAUGGAAAAGAGCUGAAAUGUAUCUGGAGUUGCUUGCCCAACCAAUGGUCCUAUAGGACCACUUGAAAGAUGACUUUGCCCUCCUCUUUGUGGGGUGAUAAUGUUAGGUUUGUUCUGAGUAACACCCAGAUUUGGCCAAGAAUUCCUGUCAAUCCUCGUAGCUUGAUGAUUCAGAAGCUAUGUAGAAAACAGUGCUGGAUACAUGUACUUGAAAGCUGUCUCCUGCUUGGUACGGAGAGAGCAGAGUGCUUCCUUGUAGCUGGAGAAGUAUGUGGUGUUACCAGGAGACACUUAGACACGUGCAGUGGCUCCAGGCCCCAGUGAGAACAGGCAUAUUUACCCUUUUCUUGUGUACAUUAAUUCAGGAACUAGGCUGGAAAUGUUCUUGUUUUUCUGUGUAACAGAAAAGAUCUAAAAUGGAUCUCUUUAAAAUACUACAGAAUUCAUGCUCCUAAGGAUUCUUCGUAUCACAGGCAGAUGUAAAACCUGAGUGGCUUUGGGGAGUGGUCUAGAGAGAAAAGGGAAGAAUAAAGUGCACACAUUUCAUCAAGUGAGCCCAUGCUAAUGUUUUCAUGCAAGUGAUGUGUACUGUUCGGCCAAUGGCUGUAGGAGAUAGAGUAAGGAUAAAAUGCGGUGACUGUACUCUAGAGUUUAUACUCAGUGAGACUGACAGCAUGUGGCGUAACGGUUGGUGUAUGCUUAGAACGCCAGAACUUGGGAGGUGGAUGGAAGAGUCAGGAAUUCAAGGCCUGUCUUGACCACAUGGCAUGUCUGAGGAGAGCCCUGUUAUACCAGAUCUGUUUUUCAUUUUUAGUCUCUCAAGGCGAACAACAACAAUAAUAAAAGACGGAUUGUGUCCUUC